CAUGCAAAGUUGACCUUAUUAAGCAUAAAAUAAAUUAGAAAUAACUGGGGCUAUACAUGAGGUUAUCGUGACAGGUCAUGCAUAGUUGACACUACAGAUAAAUUUAUAGAAAAGCUGGGUUAGGCAUGCACAAGCUGAAGUCUCAAGGUUACAUUUGAAAAAAAAAAAUUGUAUGCACUGAAUGCAGAAGAGAUAUUGAUACAUCAGCUUGGUGAAUGGUGUUGAAUUUUUUGAGGAACAGAGUAGGACAAACAGUUUAAAAGAUAGGGAACUAUAGUAGGUAUAGACAUGAAAGCUACUAUAGCAGUAACAAUGAUUCCUUUCUAGCAGACAACCACGAAUUUAGCAACAUAUGCACUUGGGUCUUCAACCAAGAAAAACA
rnacentral:lncRNA from 1 species